rnacentral:lncRNA from 1 species
GAAAAAACUGAUGCCGGGGAAGACAGUGUAUGCAUUCGCUCUUCUGAGGUUUCUUGCCUACCUCUGACAAGUAGCUGGGAGGACAGCGGAGCCCCAUACUCAGCACCCGCCCUGGCUCCCACCUCACUCAGCAGCUGGGACUUUCCACUUCUUCAGACGGAAAUAAUUACAGUGAGGUCUGCUCUCCCUGUCUCUCAGACUCACCAAGAGCCGAACUUAACAAUGUAAGAAGAGCUAAAGAAACGCAAGGCAGGCUCUGCACAGACUGUCAAUUGUUCUAUAAAUGAUACAGAUGAACUCAAGCUCUGGGCAUGGCUUCUCCCAUGAAGACGGCAGGCUCCCAAGCAUCCUAGGCACACAGAAGGACCAAAGCCAAAACUGCAGCUUGCUCUAUGUAGGUGAGGCCUGAAGAGAACCCUGGGUGCUGUCAAAUUUCCCAGAGCCCACUCGCACAGACCUGCUCAAUCUGAGGGCUAGAGUCUCUGAGCUGUGUCUUGGCCACUCACCAGUUCAUUAUGUACUUAAUCACCCUGAUGUGCACGGGGCCAGUGUUGGACAGAAAGACAGACACUUUGAUUCUGAGUUAGACUUGCCCGUAGCACUAUUGAAACUCUGCCCAUUCUGUUCUCACCGCAUUGAUCGGUAAUUUUCAUUUUCUAAUUUCAAAUAAAGCCUCUUGCUGCAGCCAGAGUGGUCCGCUCCUGGAUGGAACUUCACAGCUCGAUUUAGCUUCAUUGCUUAACGUGCUGUUACCAUCAGUCUUAAGUGGUAAUUCCACUCCUUCCAAUUAGAUUGUGGGAACGCACCAGAUAAAUGGACUCUUAUCCCCCAAGCCAUAAUCUCAACCUAGCCAUCAAGACGGGACAAUGAACAGCCAGACACUCCCCAUCACUGUGCUGCAAGGGUGGAGCCCUCCUCUCCCCUGAUGCCCCUGCCAAGCAAGCCAUGCUCAGGAGAGUUGACUGGAGAGUGCAAGCUGACGCCCAGGGUCAGCUUACACCAGAGCAAAAGCCAGGUAUCCACUAUAGCAAAGGCCAGGCUCUUUUCAGUAUAAUAUGAAAGGUGGGCUCUGUCUUUAUGCAAGAAACAGCUGAAUUUAGAAGGGAAGGGGGAGGCUGAGGAGAUAUCUCAGUCAGUAGAGUGCUCAGGGGGUACAGAUGUAAGGACCUAAGUUCAAUUCCACCCUAGCGCUGAGGAGGCAGAACCCGUAGUGAGUUCCAGGACAGUGGGAGACCCUGUCUCAAAAAAAAAAAAAGUCUCAAACCCUGGGACAAAUGGCUGAGGUGCUUAUUUGACAGAUGGCAGAUGAUAAUAUACUCUAGCCUACAGACAGACACAGACAGACAGACAGACACACACACACACCUACAUGCAUGCACAUCUACACAUCCACAGAGUGGGCCAUCAAGAUGGCUCAGUGGGUAAAGACACUUGCCACCCUGAGCUCAGAGGAAGGAGAGCCCCAACUCUGCCAAGAUAUGUUCUGGCCUUCAGACAUGUGCACAAAAAAAUAAAUAGAUAGAUAGAUAGAUAGAUAGAUAGAUAGAUAGAUAGAUAGAUAGAUAGAUAUUUUAAACUAAAAUAAAGAUGGAGAGGAAUGUCUCUCAGUGGCAGGGAGGGGACCGGCUGGUGCCACUUGAAGGCCACCGGGGCUUCUCGCUCACACAGAGCCAGCAAUUCACAUGGACAAUCACUGGCCAUGUUGAAACACCUCGGGACCUGACUUGUGUGUCAGAAGAGGUACGGCAGCCACCAGCAGCCUCUCCUUCCCACCCAGGCUACAUCAGUUGACCAACACCACAGAUCUGACAGGAACUCUGAUUCCUCCAAACUGCCUGGGAACCAGGAACCAGAAGAGCUUAUCAUGGUAGCAGGUCCCUUCUGCUGGUUUGCUUUUCCUAACUUUUGUUACCACAAGCCAUGGAAAAUUUUGUAUAAUUGUAAUGCUUGGG